CUGCUCAAAACCCUUUGCUUGUAUUCAAUCUGGUUCUCCUAGGAUUUUUGGAAAGGUUAGGGUUUCCAUCUCGUAAUUGGAACACAUCAUCCGCAUCAUUUCGAUUUUUCAUGGAGGCGGCCACCGUCGCUGUCGCACCACGAGGCAUUUCUAUGCCCAUGCCCUCGUCUCGCAAAGAACGGCGUGUUGUUUCUGAUCAUCCUCUUCAAAACCCUGGUAACGAGGAUUUGGACAAUUCAAAGUUGGUGCAAGGUGAUGAGAGACUGAUAUACGAGGUGCAGCAGGGUAGAGAAUCGCUAGAUCUAGACUUCUUUUCAGUCACUGUUGCCGGUGGUUCGGAUCAUGAACUGCGUCUUGAUGAUGUUGUCAAACAAAGGGAACAACUUCAGGAUUUAGAGGCUCGUCUUAUAGCAAAGUUCAGAAGUCCUGCUGAUGCAGGAGCGCUUUGAUUCUCAAAUCAAGGAGCAUAUUGCUGCCAACCUUAAACUCCAGGAGCAAUUACAUGAAAGGGAAAACAGCAUACAGGACUUGCAUAGGACUUUGGAAGAUAAAGAUAAAGAGCUACAUGCAAAUAGAUUAGACCAUGAAGCGGCAUGGGCUAAAGAGGACCUCUUAGGAGAACAGAACAAAGAAUUGGCAACGUUUAGGAGAGAGUGUGAUAAUUCUGAAGCAGAAGAAAAGGAUCAACAGUUAAUUGAAAUGCAGGAGCAGCACAGGGUUGCUCAAGAAACCAUCAUAUAUAAAGAUGAACAGAUAAGGGAGGCGCAAGCUUGGAUAACACGUGCUCAAGAGAUGGAUGUCUUGCAGUCAACUACAAAUCACUCGCUGCAAGCUGAAUUGCGAGAGCACAUGGAACUGUAUAACUUGGUUGUCAGAGACAGUUUGCUGAAAUGCAACAGCUUCAGCAUGAGUUUUCUGAGGCAAGGGGAAGGAGUGACACAUACUCUGAUGAUGAACGGGCUACCCAAAAGAAUCUAAAGGAUGCUUUUCAUUUCUGGCAUAUCAAAGGAAGUGAACAGGAGAGUAGUGGGGGAAGCUCGCCUGCUGAUUUUUCGAAGGGGUCUUCAAAAUCGGAAUGCAGAAAUCAUUUCAUCAUUUGCUUCAACUGGGAGUGCAUCUACACAGACCAACCAAUUCCCUGCUUCUCAAAUGGGCCAAUCAUUACAUGGAAUGUCAACUUUUCUUCCGCCAGGACAACUGACAGCUGCAUCCAUAUGUUAUGCAUCAACAGGGAGUACCCCAAAAUGUGAAUGCACAUCUUGUUCAUUCUCAUGUUGGCCAGUUCCAUUCCAUACCUACAGAUUCUUCUCUCGAAAGCUGGCAAAAUCAACAGGUGUGGGCAAAUAUAAUCUGCCUGUCUAAAACAAUUAUCUGAUUUUCUUGUCUGUUUUUAUGUUUUUAAGGCUUUAUCAGAUGGUUUCCAUAUUUCAAACCAUGACCACCACCCGUCUCAAAGUGAUCAGAAUUUGUUGAGAUCAUAAACCAACAAUUAUCUGAUUAUUCUGAUGUUCAUAUCAGUCAAGGAACGGAAUCCCAUUCUGUGGUUCCAUCACCAAAUGCUGGAGGACCCAUCACCAAAUCACAUCAAUUUCUUCAGGUUCACGAGUCAAUAGACAAUACGUACACUGGAGAACCCCAAUCACAGCAGAUCUUGCAACAUAUUUCUUCUCAAUUUCGGGGAUCUAUUAACUUGAAUCAUUCUGAUCAUGACAAUGAGCAUGUUAGUAUUAACUUAUUUUUUGUGAUGCUGGUAGCAUAUGCAUUUUCCAACCAGACUGUUAUGUUCUAGUAUUUUGAUUUUCUGUCUGGAUUACUUUUGGAGAACGAUGCAAACGCUUCUUCUAAUCUUGGAGGUGAGGCUCAAAGUCCAACUACAGAUAAUAUCAGUCCUCCUACGAAUGCAACUGAAUCUAUUCGUAGUUUAGCGAAUCCAUGAAGAAUAAAAUAACAGGCACCCCAAUUUCCGAUGGCUUUUUGUUGGUAUUGGGCAGCGUAGGUCAUCGAUAGUUGGGAAGAUUGCCGAGACAGUUCUUGAUGAAGAAUCUUUGCUUGCUUGUGUUGUUCGAACAAUACCACCAACUCCGCUGGAAGAAUAGGAAUUAGCGAUACAGUUAGUGUCAAAUGUCUGUAUGUUCAUGUGUUCUUCAGGCACACAUGACAGUCAAGGCUUGUAACAACAUAUCUACCCACUGUUCAUAGGGUCAUCUUUUGUCACAUGAAAAAAUAUUUGUGUUGUAUGGCAGCUUCUGAAUAGGCUGAACAAAAUGCUUUCCCCUCUAAAUUGGGCUGAUUACUAGACGAAGUUUGGAGAACUUGAUGAUUUCCUGGCAGUUCAUGCUGAAGUGAGUUCUUAUUUUUGGCCUGUUGAGUUCAUUUUUUUCUAUUUAAUCGGUCAUAUUUCCUUCAUCCUUUAAAAGUAAUAUUCCACACUAAUUGCAAUAUCUCAUUUUCUCUUGCACAAUUUAAAGCUCUUAGUCAUUGUUAGAGAAGCAUUUCUGAUAGUGAAUUAUCAUCACUUGAUUUUAUUGACUAUUAAGUCUAAAAAUUAAUUGAAUACUGGCUCUUUUUUUUUUGUCAAAAUUUGACUAAAUUAAUAGGCAUGUAGCCAGAUCUCAUUUUAUGUUUCAGUUGUUUUUCAUUGAAAGGGACCAUAUUCAGGUUUGAGAGGGUGCACAAGAAAUUAUUGCUGCCAUGGCAGCUCAUGUGAAGGUUCGUGCUGCCGCUGUUGCAGCAGCAGCUGCUGCAAUGACUUCUAAGUCAUCCUACUGCCUUCAGUUGCCGUCACUCCAAUUUCCCAAUCAUGUCUGAAGAAGGUCUCAUCCAUCAAUUUAAGUUCUGUGAAGGCCAAAAGCAGGUUCAUUGAGACAACUAUUGGGAAUGCAGAAUCAACUUUCUAGGUGUUUCAUCUAAUGCUGUGGGAAGCAUAUCAAGUGUGAGAAUUCUUAGCAAGCACAAUGAUCAAAUGGACCUUAAUGCCCAGAAAUUAGUCAUCACCAGACUUCUGUACACCUGGCAAAUGGUACGUGGAGAACAAUUGCCAACAGAAGUGGUGUAGGCAGUUCUCAAAGUAAGGCUAUCAACCGUGUUUCUGGAAGCAGCUGGAAGAUCUGGUGGGGCUUUGCCGAAUUCAGAAGAUGGGAAGAUGACGUUUGAGGCAAAUAAAUUUGUACAGCGACCCUCAUCAUCAUCACCAGCUAAUACCUGAUAUAUAAUAUUGAUUUUGAAAGAGAGACGGAGAUGGAGGUGCAGGUGCAGGUUGAGGUUGA